UAAUCUAACUACACUCUCAAGUCUCAAUGUGAAUAAGCUCCUUGAUUUUGAAGUGAUAAGCUCGUUAAUAUGACUUUGUUUUUCAUAAAUGUGAAUAGAAAAGAUUUACGACGUUAUUCUAAGCUUUAAUUCGGCAUCUCGGUCCAGGGGUUAAAGAUUGUGGAGCUGAGUUUCUGUGUUGUAGUGAACCGGUUUCGAGGAGGCAGGUGUAGCAAACUGUUUGUCACGGACACGGAUGUUGUUCAGGCUGGCUGCUAAUCGGUAAACGUCUUCGAUUAUGCUGAGUGGACACCAAAUGUGGCACGAUUAUGCUGAGUUGCUUGAAACGAGUGGUAUAAGCCAGAUUGUCAUCACCAACUUGUUUAAGAUGCCAGAACUCGUCUUCGAGCUUUUGCUGCUCGUGAGGGGGACAAAAUUCGAGCAUCAUCAGUUCCCUAACUUCGGUCCAUGGUAAAGCAUAAGCUUCAUCAUUGGAGCGGAUGUUUCUCUCAUUGGUCCACCACUCUAAAGCUCUACCUUGGAAGACACCAGUAGCACUCCUAGUCUUGAGAUGUUCAGGGCACUCACUGUUGAUGAAAGUAACUUCAAUGCUAUCAAACCAUUCCAGCAUUGCAGUCACCACAUCGUUGCCCAUGAAAGGCUUAGGGUUGCAGGAGACGAAGUGCUUAUAUUUGAAGCUCACAGGCUUAGGUUGGAUCGCUUUUGAAUCAACAGAGGAGGGAGGAGUGCUGGAACCUUGAAUUUCAAUGACGAUCUUGGGAAUGAUACGUGCGAUCUGAUCGGCCAUGAAAGACAUCAUUUUCUUCUGGGUGUUAGCCUUAGACUUCUUGUGAGGGUUGGAAAUUCGACUUGAUGACAUCUAAAGAUUCAAAACAAGGAUUGGAUGAGACUUGAUCGUAAUGUCUUUGUUAAAUUGGUUUGUAUCACAAGAUGUAUCACAUAGCACAUAAGGGUUGCAAA